GAGCGAACGGGGAGCAGCCCAGAGCCUGAAUCAGUGUGUGUGUUAGUGGAAGCGUCUGGAAAGGCGCGCGAUACAGGGUGACAGCCCCGUACACAAAAAUGCACAUGCUGUGAGCUCGAUGAGUAGGGCGGGACACGUGGUAUCCUGUCUGAAUAUGGGGGGACCAUCCUCCAAGGCUAAAUACUCCUGACUGACCGAUAGUGAACCAGUACCGUGAGGGAAAGGCGAAAAGAACCCCGGCGAGGGGAGUGAAAAAGAACCUGAAACCGUGUACGUACAAGCAGUGGGAGCACGCUUCGGCGUGUGACUGCGUACCUUUUGUAUAAUGGGUCAGCGACUUAUAUUCUGUAGCAAGGUUAACCGAAUAGGGGAGCCGAAGGGAAACCGAGUCUUAACUGGGCGUUAAGUUGCAGGGUAUAGACCCGAAACCCGGUGAUCUAGCCAUGGGCAGGUUGAAGGUUGGGUAACACUAACUGGAGGACCGAACCGACUAAUGUUGAAAAAUUAGCGGAUGACUUGUGGCUGGGGGUGAAAGGCCAAUCAAACCGGGAGAUAGCUGGUUCUCCCCGAAAGCUAUUUAGGUAGCGCCUCGUGAAUUCAUCUCCGGGGGUAGAGCACUGUUUCGGCAAGGGGGUCAUCCCGACUUACCAACCCGAUGCAAACUGCGAAUACCGGAGAAUGUUAUCACGGGAGACACACGGCGGGUGCUAACGUCCGUCGUGAAGAGGGAAACAACCCAGACCGCCAGCUAAGGUCCCAAAGUCAUGGUUAAGUGGGAAACGAUGUGGGAAGGCCCAGACAGCCAGGAUGUUGGCUUAGAAGCAGCCAUCAUUUAAAGAAAGCGUAAUAGCUCACUGGUCGAGUCGGCCUGCGCGGAAGAUGUAACGGGGCUAAACCAUGCACCGAAGCUGCGGCAGCGACGCUUAUGCGUUGUUGGGUAGGGGAGCGUUCUGUAAGCCUGCGAAGGUGUGCUGUGAGGCAUGCUGGAGGUAUCAGAAGUGCGAAUGCUGACAUAAGUAACGAUAAAGCGGGUGAAAAGCCCGCUCGCCGGAAGACCAAGGGUUCCUGUCCAACGUUAAUCGGGGCAGGGUGAGUCGACCCCUAAGGCGAGGCCGAAAGGCGUAGUCGAUGGGAAACAGGUUAAUAUUCCUGUACUUGGUGUUACUGCGAAGGGGGGACGGAGAAGGCUAUGUUGGCCGGGCGACGGUUGUCCCGGUUUAAGCGUGUAGGCUGGUUUUCCAGGCAAAUCCGGAAAAUCAAGGCUGAGGCGUGAUGACGAGGCACUACGGUGCUGAAGCAACAAAUGCCCUGCUUCCAGGAAAAGCCUCUAAGCAUCAGGUAACAUCAAAUCGUACCCCAAACCGACACAGGUGGUCAGGUAGAGAAUACCAAGGCGCUUGAGAGAACUCGGGUGAAGGAACUAGGCAAAAUGGUGCCGUAACUUCGGGAGAAGGCACGCUGAUAUGUAGGUGAAGUCCCUCGCGGAUGGAGCUGAAAUCAGUCGAAGAUACCAGCUGGCUGCAACUGUUUAUUAAAAACACAGCACUGUGCAAACACGAAAGUGGACGUAUACGGUGUGACGCCUGCCCGGUGC
rnacentral:rRNA from 1 species